rnacentral:rRNA from 1 species
GACGGAGGGGGCAAGCGUUGUUCGGAAUUAUUGGGCGUAAAGAGCUCGUAGGCGGUUUGUUGCGUCGGCUGUGAAAUCCCCGAGGCUCAACCUCGGGUCUGCAGUCGAUACGAGCAAACUAGAGUGUUGCAGGGGAGACUGGAAUUCCUGGUGUAGCGGUGAAAUGCGCAGAUAUCAGGAGGAACACCGGUGGCGAAGGCGGGUCUCUGGGCAACAACUGACGCUGAGGAGCGAAAGCGUGGGGAGCGAACAGG